UUAUAAAGCUGAAGAGUUUGUUUGUUUGUUUGUUUGUUUGAACGCGCUAAUCUCCGGAACUACUGGUCCGAUUUGAAUAAUUCUUUUUGUGUUGAAUAGUGCAUUUAUCGAGGAAGGCUAUAGGCUAUAAAACAUCACGCUAUGACCAACAGGAGCUAAGCAGAGCGGGUGAAACCGCGCGGAAUUAGCUAGUUUACUUCAUAUAGAUACAUUUUUAAAUUUGUCACUAAUAUUAAUUCCGAAUGAAUAUAUUCUUCUUCUAACAGCGGCUCCUCCAGCUGGUAAGACACAAGUAUUAUUAAAUAUAUCACUAAUAAUAAUUGCUUUUUUAUUCAUUCAAAUUAAUGAAAAACGACUUACUCAAAUGUGUAUGAUUUCAUCAUUUCAGAGGAAGGUAAUUCACAUUUAUUUGUAUUAUGCCAAUAAUAUAAAAAAAUAUUUUUUGUGCAUUCAAAUUAAUGAAAACGACUCACUCAAAUGUGUAUGAUUUCACUCUUUCAGAGGGUGAGUAAUUCACAUUUAUUUGUAGUACUCAUUCAAGUGUGUACGAUUUCACCCAUUCGGGUGGUGAGUAAUUCACAUUUAUUUUGUAUCACAACAAUUGCAAGCAAACGGGCUUCGACAGUACUUAACUAUAUCAUGACUUUCCUUCAGUAAGACUUGUGUAGGUACAGACAUAGUGCAGCGCUGUGUAACAGUCAAACCCGAUAAAGUUUUGCGGCUACUGAUAAUGUUCUUAAAGUGCAACAAGUGGCGAUGUAAUUUACUUUACAUAUAUUUUUACACAUGUCACUAACAUUAAUUCCGAAUGAAUAUAUUUUUCUCCCAAUAGCCGCUCCUCCAGGAUAAACCUGCAGUCAAUCAAGAUUUCCGGAGAGCGGAGUUUCUUCAUAUGAAGAGGGAUCCGAGAAGCCUUAUAUAUUAUGUUUGUAUAUCUUCCGAUGUAAUAAAUAUAAUAUGU